AAUUGCCCUUCAGUAGCGGCGAGUGAGCGGCAAGAGCUCAGAUUUGAAAUCGUGCUUUGCGGCACGAGUUGUAGAUUGCAGGUUGGAGUCUGUGUGGAAGGCGGUGUCCAAGUCCCUUGGAACAGGGCGCCCAGGAGGGUGAGAGCCCCGUGGGAUGCCGGCGGAAGCAGUGAGGCCCUUCUGACGAGUCGAGUUGUUUGGGAAUGCAGCUCCAAGCGGGUGGUAAAUUCCAUCUAAGGCUAAAUACUGGCGAGAGACCGAUAGCGAACAAGUACUGUGAAGGAAAGAUGAAAAGCACUUUGAAAAGAGAGUGAAACAGCACGUGAAAUUGUUGAAAGGGAAGGGUAUUGCGCCCGACAUGGGGAUUGCGCACCGCUGCCUCUCGUGGGCGGCGCUCUGGGCUUUCCCUGGGCCAGCAUCGGUUCUUGCUGCAGGAGAAGGGGUUCUGGAACGUGGCUCUUCGGAGUGUUAUAGCCAGGGCCAGAUGCUGCGUGCGGGGACCGAGGACUGCGGCCGUGUAGGUCACGGAUGCUGGCAGAACGGCGCAACACCGCCCGUCUUGAAAACACGGA
rnacentral:rRNA from 1 species